GUGGUGUGGACGUUUAUUGGGCCUAAAGCAUCCGUAGCUGGCUGAACAAGUCCCCUGUUAAACCCACCGAUUUAAUCGUUGGUCUGCGGGGGAUACUGCUCGGCUAGGGGACGAGAGAGGCAGACGGUAUUCCCGGGGUAGGGGUGAAAUCCUAUAAUCCCGAGAAGACCACCAGUGGCGAAGGCUGUCGGCUAGA
rnacentral:rRNA from 1 species